UGAGUUCAUUUAUUUUAAACCACGGUUUAUAUUAUGAAUUAUUUACCAUUUUCAAUAACCUAGAUGAUUUAACUAUGAAAAAACCUGAUUAAAAUGUAUAUAAAGGCUGUAGUAGGUGAAGGAGAUGCAAAGAUGACUGUGGAGCUUAAAUAAACUUGAACAAUUUCUAGUUUGCAUCAAGAUUUACUAAGGUAGUUACGCACCUAAAAACAUCAGGAAGAUUUGCAUGUUGUAACAUAACUGACUUAGCUGGCAUUAGUUAUAUAAAAUCAAUUGGAGCCAUUUUUCUUUUGUGGGAAGGAAAGUUGGUUGUUCAGUAGUUUGCUGUUACAAGUUAUUAUGCAUACCAAACAAAAUUCCUGUUUUGUUUUAUGCAGACCCUCACAGUGGUUCUUAUAAACUUUCAAGAGUAACUAAUAAAUCGUAAGGCUAUAAGAGGAUGAUCUGCAGUUUUAAAACGUUCUUUGUGUUGUAACAUUUGAGAUUACAGGGAUUAUUUUGUUCCUAACUAUGAUUUUUUUCUCUUAGUUCAAUACCGUAAUUAAUUUUAAUUAUGUUGUGUGUGGUAUCUCUUUAAGAGCAUCCCAUUAUCACUAAAGCACUCCGGUCAGGUCUUACUACAUCUGUGCAGGUUGGAAGAAUCACCUGAGAUACCAGUUACUCCUAAAAAUGAAGUAACUUCAACACCUGUACCAUAUUGUGCAGAUGAAGCAGUAGGUGUCACUAAACAUCUUAAAAAUGGUUUCAGGCAGCAGAAUGAGCAUUGAGGGGCUCAAAGGGGAUAUUUUAUUUCAGAAGUGAAGAGGUGAAAUCUAACAGGAUUUGCUUAAUUCUAGAAAAUAACCAUUUCUGUGAAAGAAGAUGGGAAAACCUUCUGAAGCAGAGGAAUAGGAAAAGAGAAAACUUCAGAAUUAAGUAACACUGAGCAAUUGCAAAUCAGUUAAUUGGAAUGGAAUUUGUUUUCAAUUUCCCUAUUGUUUCUUCUCUGCAGAAACCUCAGCCCCAUUUCAUCAAGAUGCAAAGGAGUGUAUUACAUACUGCUUCUCAGCUGGCCCAUGGGAUGUGUUUGUUGUUUCCUCGCACUGGUGCCUUUCAUGGCUUAAAAGGACCAUCGGUGGCAUCUCAUGUUGGAUGCAGAGUGAAUUUGGCACUGGACCCUCCUAAACGAUGUCUUCAUGCAGGUGCAGCACUCUUUGCCUCAAAGAGCAGCACUGUUUCAUCACAGCCAGCAGACACUCCUAGGAAAGCACCAGAAGAGAGAGAAGCUUUGACUUCAGCCACUGAAGUACCCAAGCAGAGCCCUGUAGAGUCAGAUGCUUCAGAUCCUGAUCCGUUACAAGACAAAUCAAUUAGCCUUGUUCAAAGAUUCAAGAAAACUUUUAAACAGUAUGGAAAAGUCAUGAUUCCCGUUCAUCUUGUGACUUCCACUGUGUGGUUUGGAACCUUUUACUAUGCAGCCAUGAAAGGAGUGAAUGUUGUUCCAUUCCUAGAGUUGAUUGGCUUACCAGACAGGAUAGUAGACAUCCUGAAAAAUUCCCAGAGUGGAAAUGCACUAACUGCAUACGCACUGUAUAAAAUUGCAACUCCUGCCAGAUAUACUGUGACUCUGGGAGGAACAUCCUUCACUGUUAAAUAUCUGCGUAAGAAUGGCUACAUGUCCACACCACCACCAGUAAAGGAAUAUCUACAAGAUAGGAUGGAGGAAACAAAGGAUAAAAUCACAGAGAAAAUGGAGGAAACAAAGGAUAAAAUCACGGGGAAAAUGGAGGAAACAAAGGAUAAAAUCACGGAAAAGAUUCAAGAAACCAAAGAUAAAGUUUCGUUUAAAAAAAUAAAGGACUAAGAGAUGCUUAAUUUUUGGAGAUCUCUAACUUAGCACUUUAACCUUUUUUGAGGCAGGAGAUACAAAGUGCACUUCUGACCUUUCUUGAGUUUUUUUUGUUGUUUUGGUUUUUUGUCUGCAGACUACAGCUUCACUGUGGAUAUAGAAUUAUGUAUAUUCUUGAAGGCUGAAGUUUCCUGGGAGAGAUAAAUUGUGACAAAAUUUCAAUUAACAGAAGCAAAAAUAAGUUUCACAUGAGAAGUUCACAUCCAGUGGUAAUAGUGUCAACAAUUACAUCUCAACCCUCCCCCCCCUUUUUUUCUUUUUUCAAAAUGAAGAUGAUUUCAUAUUAAAGCCACUGCUUUACUCCUCCAUCUUAGUGCACAGCCAUUAUCCCAUCGGACUGAACCUUCCGAUAAGUGAGAAUGGAGAUGUCUCUACUGGAGAAGAACACUUAUUUUGUAUUUCUAAGUGUAAUCUCAGACCUCCUUAAUCGUGAUCAUCUCUCGACGUGGAGACAGACCAUUGUCACUGAUACUGCACAUGAAGAAAAGAACGGAUUAGUUACUCACUGUAAAUGAAUUCAUAACAGCUACAUGGACUUCAGCUGAUCUGUGACAGUUCACAGUUUGGGACGGCUACAAACCUUUCUUGGAAAGUGCAUCUUUUCAGAAAUCUCAACUGCAAACUAUAGGAAGAUGAGUUAAUCACAACAGCCAUACUGUCAACUAUACUGUCUUUUUCUAAAGUUGAUUUUCAGUAGGAAGUUAUUACAAUGAAUCAAUUAUUGUAUAUUAAAAACUUUUUAGUUUUUUAUUAUGUUGAAGUUUACAAAACUGUUCUAUUAUUUCAUGGUAGUCCUAUAGCAACAAAAAAAAGAAUUCAGAAGAGAGGUUUACUCAAAUAAUAGGUAUACUAAUGGAACUUUUUAAAUACAUGCAAAGUUAGAGUUAAAUCCCAAAGUUUCUUUUCCUAUCCAAGAAUCUCUUGGAUGUCUGUAGUACAGUUUAGCUUUCCUGAGACAGUGAUUGCAGUCUAGCAGAAAACUCUACGUUUUCUUACAUCAAGCAAAUACUUGUUUGUACUUGAAAUGCUGAAAGGACUAAAGGUGAAACUGCUCUAUUUGACUAAACUGGCGAGCUUCUCUCUUAGUUCUACUCAAAUUUUAGGCUGAACUGAGUGGAUUUUUUUCCUGUUUCUGUAAUGGCCCUCACUUCCUAGUAAAUCUCUGCAUGUGCAUUUUGCUUAAAGAUGUUGGGGUUUUUUUGUGGGCUUGGUUUUUUUUGUUUGGUUGUUGGGUUUUUUUGUUGUUUUUGUUUUUGCAGGGAGAUAGAUAAGUAAAGCAGCAGAGUUGGACCCUAAGCAUUGUAACUAAGAUAAAAGAAAAUAACUGAUAAAGUAUCAUUUCUACCCCACUCUUUUACUUUGUCAGCGAAGUCACCAAGAACCUGUCCAUUUUUAAGUCCGUUGAACUUCAUUAACUCAAUUGUGCAGGAUUGAUUGCGUACUUCUCUGCCUCUGUCCAUGUGUCAAAAUAGUAACUGCAAUCUAAUGCUUACCUCACAGGGCUGUUGUGAGGAAUAAUCAUUGUAUAUUCAGUGUCCUGAAGAUGUAAAGUGCCACAUUUCUGACAAAUACUAUUAAAAAGGAAUUCUCUCUAACUGCAAGCUCUUGAGAGUGUUGAGCGAUCCUGUAGAGCAUUACACUGACUUUGCUGCUGAUAAGCAUGAAUGUGAGGGUUCUGAGUGGCUGCUGGAGCAGGAGUUGGAAAUGAAGUUGUAUCAAGCAGGAUCCACAGCAGCAAACAAGGAGGACCUGGAUCUGAAGUUAAAGCCUGAGAUGAGGCGGGAGCCAGAGUGGUGCCAGAGCCAUAGUGGCAGCCCAAAAAGCAGCCAGAGUUCUAGUGGCCCAUGGUGAGACUGAAGGCAUUGCCCAAAUAAAGGCUCGAGGCAAGUUCAAGCCAAAAUCAUAACCUGACAAGUUUCCAGAACUGAAAUAGCAGCCUGAGCAAGAUCUAGGGGUGAACUCAUAUCCCAAAUAUACCUGAGCAGAAUCAGAGGCCUGUGUAAGAUUCAGGGAAGUCAUAGCUCAAGAUGGAGUCAGAACAGAAGUUGUGAGCCAAGCACAGGCCAGAGCCAAAGAUGGGACCAAAGCCAAAGUCACUUCCCGAGAGGGAAUAGCAGCUGGAGCCACAGCACCCACUAUUGGGCCAGGGCAAAAGUCAAAGCUGGAAAUGAAGCCACAGAUAUGGGGCCGAAGUUUGUAACUGAAGUUGCUACCAGGCCUAGCCAAAGCUGCACAGUGAGCUUGUUGCUAAAGUAGCAACCCAGUGUCAGGCUAGACCUGAAAGACGGAGGUCCAAGGUGGUGGCUGGAGCUUAAAUCAUGGCCUACAACUGGGAUGGGGCUGAAGUUACAGGCAGAAGUGGGGUCAGACCUGAAGUCUUGCACCGAGUGUCACAGUCUGGUGACACAGUGACAAAGUAGAGCCCAAUAUCAGACCAGGCUGGAUCGGAAGAAGCAGCCAAAACAUGGACCAGAUGUGCAGUAGCCUCCUGGGCAGAAGUUGCAGCCCAAUAGCAGGCUAGAGGUGAAGCAGCUGCCUAAGAUGAUACUGGAGGCACCGUAAGAGCCCAGACAGGAAACAGUGACAGAGACAGGAGGACCCAAUCCAGACAGGACUUCAAGCUGUGCCCCAAGCAAUGUUCGAAGGCAAAGUCUCAGCUGAAGGGAGGACUGGAGCCAAAACAGUCAAACAAGACCAGAAUGGGGUGGGUCCUGAAGUCACAGUCCAUGAGGCUGGGGCAGAAGCCAAGGAAGACCAAGCAAGGGCCAGAGUAGACGUGAGUCCCUCCAGAGAGUGAAGCCAAAGUCACAAUCCAGUAUAGAGGUAGAGCCAAAGUCACAGUCUAAGUGGUAACCCAGUAUCAGGCCAGAGCAAAAGUCAUGGCUUUGGAUGAGGAAGAACCAAAGUCACUGCAAAGACAGAGGCCAAAGCUGCAUUAGCUUUCUGAGCAGGGACUGGGAUAAACAUUAUGGCCUGAUACCAGAUUGAAGCCGAAGUAGCAGCCCAAGAUAGUACCAGAGUUGAAUUUACAGCCCCAGAUGGAGCUGAAGCCACAAUCAUAAUAUAAGACAGGGCUAAACCUGAAACUAAGACAGCACUGAAGUGAAAGACAAUCAAAUCAUGGCCCACAGCUGCACCAGAGUCACAGCUGUAGUCCAUGAUGGGGCUGCAGCUGACAUGGCAGCUGAAAGUAGAAUUUGCUGCAAUGUUAUGACCCAAGGAGGGAAUUAAGCUAAAGAAGCGGUCCAAGAUCGGGCUGAAGUAAAAUUUGCAGCCCCAGAUGGGGUGAGAGAAAAAGUCACAGCCCAAAUAAAGGCUGGAGCUUGAAGAGGAGCUGACACCCACAGACCACUUGGGAUGGGAUUUCCCACUGGCAGGUAUCAAGCACACCCAUAUCCCUGUCCUGGGCUGAGCUGUGAGUCAGACCCAGGAGAACUCGCCACACAGUCCUUGUGGGUACCCUCUGGCUCUUCAUGGAUCCUGCUGGCUUUUCUGGCCAUAAAUACGUGGUUCCAUACCCUUCAAUCACAGCAUAAGGGCUAGAUGGGGAAGCACCUAUGCCACAGCCACUGAGAAACUCUCCAAUGGCCUGAGAAUCCUAAAACCAUAAGAUAUCCUGAGUUGGAAGGUUAGAGGGUACAGCUGGCCUUGGGGCUGCCAGAGCACACUGCGGACUUGUUCACCUUGCCAUCAACCACAACACCUAGGACCCAGAGGGUCUGUAGCCAUUGGAGAAAAUAUUUGAGAGAUUUCCCCUCCCUUGCCUUGGAGAACAGGGUUGGAGCUGCUGGAGGGGCACUCAGUGGUGGCAGAGAAAGUCCCUGGCCCCUGGCAGCACGCUGCAAUCCAGCAGGGCACCUGCCACGUCAUCUCCUGGGUCACUGCUGUCCAUGUGACCAUCCUCAUCAAAACACAUUUCUGAUUGUGUUCCUCAUGGGUGUCAGCUUGGAGCACUGAGCUGCAUUUGUCCUUAUUCAUCACUUACCGUCAGCAACAAUAAUAAUUAGAGAGCUGUAAUUAUCCCCUGGCAGUUAUCUGGCUAUUUUGAUGAAGAUGAUCUUCUAAGUAGAAAGAAUACAUCUUGAUUUCAUAAGGCCACAGGGCAACAUGUAGCAUUAAGUUUGGGUUUGAGUUUAAGCAAUUGACUGGACAACUACAGGGGAGGGAACCCAGGGAAAGAUACACAGGCUUUUUUUGAAGUUUUUUAAAAAAAAAAAAAAAAAGGAAAAAACAAAACGAAAACAAACUAAAUACAACUGGGUAAAGUUUCAUCAAAAAAUGAAAGAGGAGAAUGUUCAGGUUGGAUAUUAGGAAGGCUUUCUGCUCAGAAGGAGAGGUAAAGCACAGGCACAAGUUGUCCAGGAAUGUGGUAGAGUCACCACUCCUAGGGGUGUUCAAGGAAUGGGUGGAUGUGGCACUGAGGGACAUGAUUGGUGGACAAUAUUGGUGGCAAGUGGAUUGCUGACUAGAUCAUAUUAGAGGUCUUUUCCAACAUCAGUGAUUCUGUAAUUACAUGAAAUAUUUCUAACUGCUGCUUUGGCUAGCCAAGUGGCCUAUCUUGUGAAACUGGGGACAGUGGUGGUUGUGCCAGCAUCCAUCCCUAAAGGUGAAGGCCUGAGUCUUUUCCAUUUCCAUAAAGAGCAGACCCAUAUGGGAAAACAGAUGUUCCCACAAUAUCCCAUGUCCCAGUCAGAAGUAACUGACAAGCUGUGUGGCAAUUGCUAUGAGUUGUAGCCCAGAGCGGCUCUCCACUUCUUCAGUGUUAUUGUCAGAUGGUGAUUUUAGUCUGCUCAGUAUCAUUUACCUGUUGGGGUAUAGUUUUAGUUGAGAUGAAAGUGUCCAUUUCCCCUGGCAUAUGGCUUGAACCAGUGUGCAUGUUUUCUUAUCUGCAAGAUAGUAUUGGUGGAACAUGAAGCAUAAUCUAAAAAGGUGAGAGGACUCGCACAGAGCAGCUGAUGCAAUCACUCAGCCAUACAGCUUUCAACGUGCACCAGUGCACCUCUCACUGAGAAGCUGCAGCAGCUAAUGCUGCACCACUGACCCUCUAAAACACACACAGCUGGACUGCAAAGCCAAAGGGGGCCAAAGUGGCCAGAAGAGCAGUUUUGCAGUGGCCAGCCGAGCCCUACCCGUCAGGUUUCUCCAGAGGGAAAGACACCAGAUCAUUGGCUUUUUCAGGCAGCUGUCAAGUUUGCAGCUGGAAACAAAUUGGAAAGCACUUACUUAGACUCCUAACCCAAUUGUAGGAAAAUAAACAGCUCCUAUACAUUCAGCUGUUGCCAUAAACCCUUCUGAAAGGGUAUGAAAAUGCGUUAAUGCUUUCGAUUUGGCUUAUAUGGCUUCUUCACCAAGUGAAGCCAACUAGGGCAAGCUUGGCUCAGCAUAUGAAAGACUCAGAGACUGCUAACAUAAUUGCACAUGUAUGCCUAUGCAGGGAGACAUGUGAUAAACUGUAACAUUCUGAGAGCUUUGAGGACAAAACUAGUUUGUUGGUUUUUUUUUUCCUCUGGGAGUUUCUUGCUGUCUAGGGUUAAAUGUAGGUCAAGCUGUCUGAGCCAUGUCUGUGGCACACAGAGUGGGAUUAAAUCGGAAUUUUUCCACUCAGCUCCACUGUCAAUCACUGUAAUGUCUGCAAAUGUUAAAUUAAUCUGGAGUGAGCUGGCAAUGGCAUUGAAGGGAGCUUCUUGGGCUCAAGGGUGACAUUUUGGCCUCCGUGGAAAAAUUGCCUUCUCUCUCCAGGCAAAGGGUGGCUGCGUUCCGACAGCUUUUUUUAAACCCUGAAAUUACCAGCGAAACCCAGAGAGAUGAUAGCUCUGUACAAGGCAAAAGCACACAGAUGGCAGAAGGAGCGGGGAGAGAGAGCACCUGACUGCAGGUGGGACUGCAAGCGAUGGAGGUGGGGAGAUGGCUCUGCACUGUGUGCUGCCCUGUCCCUCUCCAUGCAUCUUUAAAGCAGCAUUAGCACCUCUGUGCAAAGCUCUUUGUAGCAGAAGCCUGUUACUGAGUACAGAGUAUUUUGCAGUAAGGAUCUGCUGGUUUGCAGGUGUUACAAAGGACAGUGAGCAUUCAGCAUUGCCACUCCACAUGCAGUCCGUAAAUCCUCUGGCAUCCAGCAUGUUGCCUUUAUCACAGUGUGAGUCCAGCACUGCUGUGCAUCCCAGAGUCCUUCCAACUUAAUUAAUAUCUAAUGGUGAUUUGUAGCACCCAAGGUAAGCAGAAGCAGGCAGUUAACCAGCACUAAGUACAGUAGGUGAUUUCUCAAAUGCUAAGGAAUGUUCUGGGAGUAACUGAUGUUGUGAACUGUAUGGGAUACUGAGAAACGUAACUCGUCACUUUGACUACAUGGAAAAGAAUGGGCUAGCUCAGCUCUAACCUCUGCUCUCAGGAGUUAUCAUUUCAUACUCUGCCCAGGAAAAAAAAAAAAAAAAGUAGAAAACAAGCCAAAAAAGAAAAAAUCCUUCAAGUUUUUAUUCUUUCCCAGUGCUGGAGUUGUGUGGAAGUGGCACAAUGCACGUGGAACAAAAGCUGGGCAUCACUGCAGCAGAAGCAAGUGAUGAGAACUGGAUUCAGCAGUGAGGUUUUUAAAAUGUGCAUUUUAAUUAGAACUCAUUUAAAGCACGACCGAUCAAAACAGUGAUAAUGAGAGAAGCCUAAUUAAUUUUUGUCUAAGCAACCGAGCCUCAUUAUAGAGCGGUCUUGGGGAAGAAAAGGGUUUGGAGUGGUACAACCAGGGUGUUUGUAAUGAGAGGCAAUACUGCGGGGAGCCUGGAAGCCAGACCAAAAGGUUUCAUAGGACUGCAGCAGCCACUGUAUUAAUCUUUAAACAGGAAAAGUAACCCUACUGAGAUGAGACAUCCCAUUUAUAGCCAAGUUCUGAGCUGCAACCAUUGGCAAAGAUAUUAAAACACAAUCAAAGAGAAUGGCAUAUUAUAAAACAAAUAUAAAUACAAUUAAAACCAGAUUAAGUAAAAGAUCAAAGCAGUCUCAAAAAAGCAGUUUCCAGGGAGUUCAGGGUUCAGACAGCAGAGGAGGAGCAGACGCUCAGAGGUCUGGAGCGCUUCUAAGCGCUGAGGCCCCAGCUACUUUCUAAGCACCAAGGAAGAAUUAAAAUGCUGUGGAGGGGGAGAUGCCAACUCUGGGUGGUUAUAUGGAAAGAGAACUGUUACACUUCUAAAUGGUGAUAGCAGAAAGUGCUGCAGCAUUUAAAUAAGGAAGCCAUUUGUAGAGAACAGCAGAAAGCUCCUGUCCAAAGGCAGCCCAAGGGCUGCUCCUGAAGGAGUGUGUCAGAAGUGAGCUGGUGCAUAAUCAAUGGAUAUUAAGAUGUUAUAAGAGAGUUAGGCAAAAUAGACUAGGAUAAUAAGGAGAAUAAAUGGAAGGCUUACCUGUAUGUUAGGCUCACCUACAGAAAGCACCAGAAGAAGGGACCUCCAGACAAGAUCCUUCCCCACUGGUAGCCAGCUCUUAAAUAGGUCUAGGAGAGGUGCAGCCAGGCGCCACCCCUUCCGGCAGCACAGCUGAAUUGCCUUCACCUGUGCUCCUCUGGCUGACUCAUGGUUCUCCUCAGGUGAUCAGAGGUUCAGGCCGUGACUCAGCAGUUCCCAUGCAGCUGGGGAUGCACAGCCCCCUCAGCAGCCUCUUCUCCACACACACUGCCCCCUGCUUUGCAGCACCACCUCCCUCUAGGCAUCACUCUCCAAAAGGAAUCAGCAAGCACAGACCCGAGUACAAAACGUAGCCCAAGACAAGGAUUACAUUAACAGUCAUGCUACAUGAAGCAUCACGUUAUACUUCAACACAAAUAGAAGUUAACUGCUCACUUCUUAUGUUGUUAAGCAUUCCAAUAGUGAAGUGAGAGGCACCACCUGUUGACAGUUGAAUUUACCUUCUAUUACCAAGGAUUUGUGCUUUUCCCCUGCAUGAACCAUAUCCUGUAUUUUUGCUUUUCAGUCAGUUUCUUCAGCUUCAUGGUUGGGCACUGCCCACCACUUUCUGGGCCAGCACUGCCCUGCCAGGGGCAGCCACGACACUGGGUGCCUGCAAGGGGAUCAAGGCGGUGUUCCUAGCCCAUGUUUCAAGGACUGAAUCCCCCCUCCGACUCCUUAAUGAUCAGCUACCAGCUUGAGAGCAGAAAAGCAAGGACAAAAAAGGACAAGCGUUUGUUUUACAGAAUGUCACGCUGGUGUUUCAUCCCCUUUUCCCCCACUUCACAAAGAAAUUCAAUAGGAGACAAAUGCAUUUCAUGGUUUUUAAUAAUUCUGUGCUAUGGUUAAACCACAGCAUAUUAAGAACAAGCAUAAAAUCUGUAUUUAAAACUAACAACAGCACUUAGAGCAACAUCUUCCUUUAAAAGUAUUGCAAUAACAGACCUUAGGUCUAAAAACUAGGACAUCACCAUUUGCUCAAUUAAAAGAGUCAGAUAUACAACAGUUGAAAUCUUUUCCUUUAUAUAACCGGGAGUUAUGGUGGAAAAUAAGCAACAAAUUAAUUGUGUUAAAAGGAAAAUAAGGUAAAAAAAAAAACCAACAAAACAAAACAACAAAA